UGACAAAUCGUCAUUUACCAUAUUCGAUCAAUCAGUACAAAUGCUUUCCUAAUUCAUGUCAGACGCCACGGCAGCCCGACCAAAGAAGAUCAUCAUCGACACCGAUCCUGGCAUUGAUGAUGCAAUGGCGAUCUUUCUGGCAUUAAGAUCACCCGAGGUGGAGCUGAUUGGACUUACAACUAUAUAUGGGAAUGUUUAUACGACCCUGGCCACGAGAAAUGCCUUACAUUUGGUACAGUUGAUGAGGUUAUUCCCUCAUUUAUGACAUUUUGAAUGCGCAUGCGUUAAAUUUUUGGUACCAUUUCAUUUGCUGAAUUGAAUUUGUUUCAAGUGCACCGUUAGAAUUAGCAUUUUUUCAGUUUUUUGAGGUUAACUGUGUUGACUCUUUCCUUACGUUUAUGAUGUAGCUUGAAGUUGCUGGGAGAACUGAUAUCCUUGUUGCUGUAAAAUGUAUAGAAAAUUGUAUUGAAAACAGAGAAAUCAGAGAAGAAAAUCAAUAUUUCUCAUUAUAGUACGAUACUGAAUUACAUUGCUAUACAAUCAAAGUCAUUUAAAUAGACACAAGGACUAUUUACAACUUGCCAUUUGGACCACUAAUAUUCAUGAUUGAAUAACUAACUUAACUACCAAUUACAUGCAAGCUUUUUGUUUCUGUUUAGCUUCUUGAGACUUUAAUUCCAAAGCUUCUAUAUGAUUCUGCAAGCUCCAACACCCCCCCUCAAGAUGAGAAUGAAUGUUAAUCAUUCCCAUCUUGUGUAUAAGAUGAUGAAAAUUAAGUGAACCAAGAGGUUUGGUUAAUAUAUCAGCUAACUGAUGUUUAGAGGGGAUGUGUAUGAUUUUAAUGAGGCCUUCUUGUAGUUUUUCUCGAACUAAGUGGCAAUUCAGCUGAAUGUGCUUAGUCCUUUCAUGAUGCACAGGAUUAGAAGCAAUUUCAGAUGUUGGUUUGCUAUCAGUAUAUAAUAAGGCAGCUUGAGAAUGUUGAACAUUUAGAUCAGCUAGCAGAUAGAGGAGCCAUUGAAUUUCGCAUGUAGUUGUAGCUAAAGCCCUAUACUCAGAUUCAGCAGAUGAUCUGCUAACAGUGGGUUGUUUCUUCGAUUUCCAUGAGACAAGAGAAUCUCCUAGAAACACUGUGAACCCAGUUACACUUCUUCUAGUGUCCAAGCAGCCACCCCAGUCACUAUCUGAGUAUGCUUUUAGAUGUAGAGAUGAGUUUGCAGACAUGAAAAGUCCCUGACCUGGUGUAGCUUUAAUGUAUCUAAGUACCCUUUCAGCAGCUUAAAGAUGUAAGGUACUUGGAUUGGCCAUGAACUGACUCAAUGCUUGAACAGAAUAAGCUAUGUCAGGUCGAGUGAUAGUUAAGUACAAUAGUCGACCAACAAGCCUUCUAUAAGAUGCAGGAUCAGUAAGAGAAGGUGAAGAAUCAUUUGCACUUAGUUUCAGAUUGGACUCCAUAGGAAAAGCUACUGGUUUGCAACCAGAAAAGCCACUAUCUUGUAGAAUAUCCAGGGCAUAUUUUCUUUGAGAGACAGUAAUGCCUUUAGUUGAUUUGGCUAUUUCUAGACCCAAGAUGUAUUUGAGUUCACUAAGAUCCUUGAUGGUAAAAGAAUCAUGUGGAAAUUUCUUCACUAUAUUAAUCUGAACAAUGCUAUCAGAUGCAAGGAUUACAUCAUCAACAUAAAUGAGUAGGGCUAUAAAAGCUGAGGGAGUUUGUUUAAUGAAUAAGGAAGAAUCUGAUUUACCCUGAGUGAAGCCAAUUUGUAUCAAAGAAUGAGACAAUUUGGAAAACCAUUGUCUUGAUGCCUGUUUCAGCCCAUAGAGACUCUUUUUGAGCUUGCAUACUCGAGGAUCAUUGGUUGAGGAAUAGCCUGGUGGCAAUUGCAUAUACACUUCUUCAUUGAGAUUUCCAUGCAAGAAGGCAUUAUUUACAUCUAAUUGAUGUAAAUGCCACUGUUUUAUUGCAGCAACAGCAAGUAAAAAUCUCACAGAUGUCAUCUUAGCAAUAAGAGAAUAGGUGUCAAAAAAAUCUAGCCCCUCUUGUUGAGUAUAGCCUUUUGCCACUAGCCUUGCUUUAUACCUUUCAACUGUACCAUCAGCCUUAAACUUGACACGAUAAAUCCAUUUACAACCUAUUGCAAUCUUAUUUGGAGGUAAAAUAGCAAGAUCCCAAGUUUUGUUUAACUCAAGAGCUUUUAUUUCUUCUGCCAUGGUACCUUGCCAUUGAGGAUGAGAAAUAGCUUGUUUGAAGGUUUUGGGUUCGAAAGUUGAAGUAAUGGCAGCAACAAAAGCUUUAUAUUUUGGGGAUAAUUGAGAAGUAGAAAGGUAAGGAAAUAUAGAAUGAGGCUUACCUUCAUUUGAAGUUGGAUUGCAGCUGGGAGAUGAUUGAGUAACUGAAGCUGUCUGUGCCAUAUGACCACAAUAAAAAUUCUGUAAGUAUGCAGGAGGAUUUCUGAUCCUUUGAGACCUUCUGAGAGUGUUUUCAGUUUGAGUGUUGUCAAUUUGAGUGUUUUCAUUCUGAAUAUUUGAUAGGAUAGGAAGUGAAGAAGGUUUAGCUUCUUGAGACUCAAAAAACUGAAGAAAGUUGGGAAAGACAAAGGGUGUAUGAACUGUGUUUGGUAUGGAAGGGAAUAUAGAUUCAUGAAAAACUACAUUUCUGGAAACAAAUGUCUUGAGGGUAAUAAGAUCCAAAAGCUUAUAUCCUUUGAUAUUUGGUGGGUAACCUAGAAAAGGCAUUUAGAAGCUCUUGGUUGAAAUUUUCCUCUAUGAGCUGUGAGUGUGCUAGCAAAACACAAACACCCAAAGACUUUAAGAUAGUUGUAAUUUGGAUGUUUUUGAAAUAAAAGAAAAUAUGGUGUCUGAUUCUUGAGAAUGGAAGAAGGGGUUCGAUUUAUAAGAUGUGUGGCUGUCAACACACAUUCUGUCCAAUAAGAAAGUGGCAAUUUUGAUUGAAAAAGCAAAGCUCUAGCAACAUUAAGAAGAUGUUGAUGUUUUCUUUCAACCCUACCAUUUUGUUGGGGUGUUUCAACACAAGAUAGUUGGUGUAUUAUGCCAUGAUCAUUGUAGAAAUUAGGCAUAUUAAACUCUUGGCCAUUAUCAGUCCUAAGAGUUUGAAUGGUAGUGUUGAAUUGAGUAUGAAUGUAAGAUACAAAUUUUGUAAGAAUGGUACGAGUUUCUGUUUUAGUUUUCAUGAGAUAAAGCCAAGUGAAUCUUGUAUAGUCAUCUACAAUUGUUAGGAAGUAAUUAAAACCAGAAUAUGAACUAGUUGAGAAAGGGCCCCAAAUGUCACAAUGGACUAACUGAAAAGCUUUAUUAGAACAACUAUUUGAUAUAGGGAAUGCUAGCCUUUUCUGUUUGGCUAAAGGACAGAUCUCACAUAUAUUUUUGUGAUUUGCUGAUACAUUGGAAUCUAUUUCACUAAUGAUUUUUAAUCUGGUACAUGGAAUAUGUCCUAGUCGAAGAUGCCAAAUAUCAGCAUUGAUGUUACAAUUAUUUGCUAGAGAAACAGAAGGUACAGAAUUAGAAUCUAGUUUACUCCUUGCUUGAACAGAAGGUUGUUGCAGAUGGUAUAGGCCAGACUUUACUUCAGCAAGACCAAUCAUGUUCCAGUUGAUUAGGUUCUGCAAAAUGCAUUUGGAUUGCAAGAAGAACAACCCAAUAGAGUUAUCUUUAGUGAGUUUUGAAGCAGAUAUGAGAUUAACAUUGAAUGAAGGAACAUAAAGGGCAUUAUGUAAGGUGAUAUCAGUUGAGAAAUUUACAUCUCCAGUAAAGAUAAUAGGAACAGAUUGGCCAUUUGGUAGAUGGACCAUAGAUGAUUGACUUGGUAAAUGAAUUGUAUUGAAAAAAUGGGGAGAACAGAUCAUAUGAUCUGUUGCUCCUGUAUCUAGGAUCCAUGGAGAAUUAUUUUUGUCAACAGAAACAGUGUGACAAGAUAUAAUAUCUGAUGUAGAAGCAGUGUUUGCUGUGGAGUUGGAAUUUAUUUGUGUAUGAGAUAAGCUAUUUGCAAGUGAUAGCAAGUUUUGAAUUUGCUCUUGAGAAAAUAUGUUUGAGAUGCUUGAAUUUGACUCCAAAGAAGAGGCAAUAUUUGCAGUGGGCAAUCUUGUGUUUACAUUUCCAUGUUGAGCAGGAAAAAUUCUCUUCCCUCGUGGGCCUUUCCAUCCAGGUGGGUAUCCAAUCAAUUGGAAGCAUUUGUCUGCAAGAUGUCCAGUAUAUCCACAAUGGGAACAAGUGACAUCUGUUUUUGCUUUUGGUUUUGUGAACCGAGUACCAUUUGUAGCAAUAAGUUUCUGUGUUUGUGCAGCAACCAUUGCAUGAGAGUCUAUAGAAAUGCCAACAGCAUUUGAUAAUGAUCUUUGGCUUUCUUCUUGCAUUAGUAAAGAAAAUACUUUGCUCAUAGAAGGCAAAGGUGAUUGGAGAAUCAAUUGACUUCGCAUCAUAGAAUAAGAAUCAUGCAGGCCAAUGAGAAAUUUCAUGACAUAAUCUGAUUGCUGCCUGUCUGUGAAGUUCUUUAAAAGAUUGCAAGAAUAUCUGUCGAGUAUUCCACAUCUGCAACUUGGAAUUGGUCUGUAACUGAUGUAUUCAUCCCAAAGGGUCUUGAAUUCAUUGAAAUAUUCAGUAAUUGAUCUUGAGCCUUGAGAGAUUGAACUAAGAGACUUUUCUAGAGUAAAGACUCUUGGACCAUCACUUCGAAGAUACCUUGUCUUGAGUUCUUCCCAAAUAUCAUAUGCAGUUGUGAAGUACAGCAAGCUCCCACGAAUCUCUUUGGCUAUAGAAUUCAUUAGCCAAGAUAGAACAAGAUUAUUUGCUCUCAACCAAGCAGUUCGAGUCCGAGAGUCAUCAAGAUUGGGUUGAGACAAAGUACCAUCUAUGAAUGCAAUCUUGUUCUUUACUGUAAGUGCUAUGGAGAUGGAUCUACUCCAUGCAAUAUAAUUCUCACCAGUAAAGAUCUCAGAAACCAAGAGUGCUCCAGGAUUAUCGGAUGGAUGCAAGUAAUAAAAACUUGAAGAAUCAUCCGAUGGGUUUCUUGAAGAAGUAUCAGCAUUUGCCAUAUAACCUGAAUGUGCAGAAGACUCAGAAUGUGCAGAAGAGUCCGAAUCCACCAUAGAAGUGAUAAAGAAAUAGAAAGAUUGAAGAAAGAUUGAAGAAAGAAUUUAAGAGGGCAGCGGAAAGUGAAUUAUACACGAUGAUACCAUGUAAAAUGUAUAGAAAAUUGUAUUGAAAAUAGAGAAAUCAGAGAAGAAAAUCAGUACUUCUCAUUAUAGUACGAUACUGAAUUACAUUGCUAUACAAUCAAAGUCAUUUAAAUAGACACAAGGACUAUUUACAACUUGCCAUCUGGACCACUAAUAUUCAUGAUUGAAUAACUAACUUAACUACCAAUUACAUGCAAGCUUUUUGUUUCUGUUUAGCUUCUUGAGACUUUAAUUCCAAAGCUUCUAUAUGAUUCUGCAAGCUCCAACAGUUGCUGAGGGAUCUCAUGUAACAAUUACCGCGAGUACUGACUCAAAGAUAAGAUCCUAUGGAAGGAACUGCAAUUUUGUUCCUACAUGAGAAAAACGAGUAGGGAAUCUUUUGGGAAUGCAUGUGUAUCCCGUCAUAUUUCACUUAUGGGCCUCAUGAUGAAUGAAAGCAUCUAUUCUUCUUGCUCAUGCUCUAAUAUGUGAUCAGUGUCUUGAUUGUAUUCUAGUUGCCUACACUAUGAAUGGAAGGGCAACCUGAGGAUUCCUUUUGUAAUUUUGACAGAGAUAAUAUGAAAGAAAAAUAAAGAGGAAGCUUUGUUCUUUUUGUCUUUUAUUUUUGGAAGGAUUUGCUUCAGCUUCAUUUGUUGCAAUAAAAAUCAUUUUCCACUGUAGACCUCAUUUUGGGCUGGUUGCCUCACUGAAGAAAUCGACUUCAAAUUUACAUGAUAUCAUCGAAACUUGUUCCUGUGGGAUUUCUAUUAUGGGUUAUAAAUUUUCGCUCACAUAAUUUCAACUUUGAAUCUCACGUACACUGCCAUACAUUUUCCAGUUCACGAGUUCAUUGCAUCUUUGUUCGUAUUCCAAAAAGGUAUGAAACUUCGAGUCGCUAAUUUUGUCAAUGGUGCUGAUGGACUUGGCAACCAAAAUUUUCCUCCAGUGAAAGGAAAGCCAACUGAGCAGUCUGCAGCUGCCUUUUCUCAUUGAGCAAGCAAACCUCUAUCCUGGAAAAGUUACAGUGGUGGCGCUAGGCCCACUUACAAAUAUUGCACUGGCUCUCCAACAAGAUCCUGCAUUUUCUAAGAUCAUUGGGCAGAUUGUUCUUCUUGGUGGUGCUUUUGGAGUAAAUGGGCAUGUGCAUCCAGCAGCAGAGACAAAU